rnacentral:rRNA from 1 species
UACGAAGGGGGCUAGCGUUGUUCGGAUUCAUUGGGCGUAAAGGGUGCGUAGGCGGCGCGGUAAGUCGGGUGUGAAAUCUCGGAGCUUAACUCCGAAACUGCAUUCGAUACUGCCGUGCUUGAGGACUGGAGAGGAGACUGGAAUUUACGGUGUAGCGGUGAAAUGCGUAGAUAUCGUAAGGAAGACCAGUGGCGAAAGGCGGGUCCUCGUGACAGUUCCUGACGCUGAGGCACGAAGGCCAGGGGGAGCAAACGGGG